rnacentral:rRNA from 1 species
UGCAGUCGAACGAUGAACUCCAGCUUGCUGGGGGGAUUAGUGGCGAACGGGUGAGUAACACGUGAGUAACCUGCCCUUGACUCUGGGAUAAGCGCUAGAAAUGGCGUCUAAUACCGGAUACGAGCUUCAGCCGCAUGGCUAGGAGUUGGAAAGAAUUUUGGUCAAGGAUGGACUCGCGGCCUAUCAGCUAGUUGGUGAGGUAAUGGCUCACCAAGGCGACGACGGGUAGCCGGCCUGAGAGGGUGACCGGCCACACUGGGACUGAGACACGGCCCAGACUCCUACGGGAGGCAGCAGUGGGGAAUAUUGCACAAUGGGCGAAAGCCUGAUGCAGCAACGCCGCGUGAGGGAUGACGGCCUUCGGGUUGUAAACCUCUUUUAGUAGGGAAGAAGCGAAAGUGACGGUACCUGCAGAAAAAGCACCGGCUAACUACGUGCCAGCAGCCGCGGUAAUACGUAGGGUGCAAGCGUUGUCCGGAAUUAUUGGGCGUAAAGAGCUCGUAGGCGGUUUGUCGCGUCUGCUGUGAAAUCUGGGGGCUCAACCCCCAGCCUGCAGUGGGUACGGGCAGACUAGAGUGCGGUAGGGGAGAUUGGAAUUCCUGGUGUAGCGGUGGAAUGCGCAGAUAUCAGGAGGAACACCGAUGGCGAAGGCAGAUCUCUGGGCCGUAACUGACGCUGAGGAGCGAAAGCGUGGGGAGCGAACAGGAUUAGAUACCCUGGUAGUCCACGCCGUAAACGUUGGGAACUAGAUGUGGGGGCCAUUCCACGGUCUCCGUGUCGCAGCUAACGCAUUAAGUUCCCCGCCUGGGGAGUACGGCCGCAAGGCUAAAACUCAAAGGAAUUGACGGGGGCCCGCACAAGCGGCGGAGCAUGCGGAUUAAUUCGAUGCAACGCGAAGAACCUUACCAAGGCUUGACAUAUACCGGAAACGUCCAGAGAUGGUCGCCCCGCAAGGUCGGUAUACAGGUGGUGCAUGGUUGUCGUCAGCUCGUGUCGUGAGAUGUUGGGUUAAGUCCCGCAACGAGCGCAACCCUCGUUCUAUGUUGCCAGCACGUUAUGGUGGGAACUCAUAGGAGACUGCCGGGGUCAACUCGGAGGAAGGUGGGGAUGACGUCAAAUCAUCAUGCCCCUUAUGUCUUGGGCUUCACGCAUGCUACAAUGGCCGGUACAAAGGGCUGCGAUACCGUAAGGUGGAGCGAAUCCCAAAAAGCCGGUCUCAGUUCGGAUUGAGGUCUGCAACUCGACCUCAUGAAGUCGGAGUCGCUAGUAAU